rnacentral:rRNA from 1 species
GACGAACGCUGGCGGCGUGCUUAACACAUGCAAGUCGAACGGAAAGGCCCUGCUUUUGUGGGGUGCUCGAGUGGCGAACGGGUGAGUAACACGUGAGUAACCUGCCCUUGACUUUGGGAUAACUUCAGGAAACUGGGGCUAAUACCGGAUAGGAGCUCCUGCUGCAUGGUGGGGGUUGGAAAGUUUCGGCGGUUGGGGAUGGACUCGCGGCUUAUCAGCUUGUUGGUGGGGUAGUGGCUUACCAAGGCUUUGACGGGUAGCCGGCCUGAGAGGGUGACCGGCCACAUUGGGACUGAGAUACGGCCCAGACUCCUACGGGAGGCAGCAGUGGGGAAGAUUGAACAAUGGGCGGAAGCCUGAUGCAGCAACGCCGCGUGCGGGAUGACGGCCUUCGGGUUGUAAACCGCUUUCGCCUGUGACGAAGCGUGAGUGACGGUAAUGGGUAAAGAAGCACCGGCUAACUACGUG